GACGAACGCUGGCGGCGUGCUUAACACAUGCAAGUCGAACGGAAAGGCCCUGCUUUUGUGGGGUGCUCGAGUGGCGAACGGGUGAGUAACACGUGAGUAACCUGCCCUUGACUUUGGGAUAACUUCAGGAAACUGGGGCUAAUACCGGAUAGGAGCUCCUGCUGCAUGGUGGGGGUUGGAAAGUUUCGGCGGUUGGGGAUGGACUCGCGGCUUAUCAGCUUGUUGGUGGGGUAGUGGCUUACCAAGGCUUUGACGGGUAGCCGGCCUGAGAGGGUGACCGGCCACAUUGGGACUGAGAUACGGCCCAGACUCCUACGGGAGGCAGCAGUGGGGAUUAUUGCACAAUGGGCGGGAGCCUGAUGCAGAGACGCCGCGUGCGGGAUGACGGCCUUCGGGUUGUAAACCGCUUUCGCCUGUGACGAAGCGUGAGUGACGGUAAUGGGUAAAGAAGCACCGGCUAACUACGUG
rnacentral:rRNA from 1 species